ensembl:lncRNA
GCCGUGCGGAGCUCCUCUCGGCUGCAGACGCCCACGGGGAUCAGCCCCGGUCCGAUCUGCGUGCAGGGCCUUCCUUGGGCAGCCCCCUCUCCUCCCUGCAAAUGCUACUGUGGGCGGCCCUCCUUCUGAGCGCAAGGCUUACUGCGUGCGGGUACCCACCUGCCUGCAAACACCUGCGGAGAGGACCGCCCUCCGUGCGUGCGUCGCCCACGGUGUGCAGACACUGACGUUAAACAGCACUGUAUGUGGCACCUGAGUGCGUGCCUGCAUCCACUGUGCACAGGCACUGACAGGCUCACCAAUGCCUCUCAGCAGGCACUGAGACGACUGUGCCCUCCAACACCCGCGUCUGUGCAGGCUCCAGGAGCAGAUGGAAACCCUCCUGUCGCAUACCUUCACAGACGGGAGCCCACCAGGCUCCCCUGUCCCUGGGAUUCUCCAAGCAAGAACACUGGAGUGGGUUGCCAUUUCCUUCUCCAAUGGAUGCAAGUGAAAAGUGAAAGUGAAGUCGCUCAGCUGUGUCCGACUCUUCGAGACCCCAUGGACUGCAGCCUAACAGGCUCCUCCGUCCAUGGGAUUUUCCAGAACCAGCCUGGCUCCACAAGCAGGCACUCCCCAGGCCUCCCCGCCACCCCUGACAACCAGAAUCCCACUCUCUGUGUCUGUGGAUUGGCCUGUUCUGGACAUUUCCUAUCAAAAGGAUCGCAUCCUGUGUGGCCUUCUGGGUCUGCUUCUCUUACUGAGGGUCAAUAUUUCAAAGUCAGUUUGUUUUAUUGCUGGCUAAUAUUGUAUGUAUGGCCUGACCUGUUUACCUGUUCACUUGGGACAGAUAACUGGGGUUGUUUACAGUUUCUGGUGAUAAAGAAUAAAGCUGCUAGUGGGG